UCAACAGAAGAACUGCCUGGAAAACUAUCGAGAUUGAGACUAGGAGAGGAGAGCGGAAUUCCCGGUGUAAGGGUGAAAUCUGUAGAUAUCGGGAGGAACACCAGUAGCGAAGGCGGCUCUCUGGUCUAGAUCUGACGCUGAGCUGCGAAAGCUAGGGGAGCAAACAGGAUUAGAUACCCUGGUAGUCCUAGCCAUAAACGAUGAGCACUAGGUGUUGGCUCUGAAUAAGGGUCGGUGCCGUAAGAUAACUCGUUAAGUGCUCCACCUGGGGACUACGGCCGCAAGGCUAAAACUCAAAGGAAUUGACGGGGGCCCGCACAAGCGGUGGAACAUGUGGUUCAAUUCGACGAUACGCGAAGAACCUCACCAGGGCUUGACAUGCAGGAAGUAGGAACCUGAAAGGGGGACGACCUGUCAAGUCAGGAACCUGCACAGGUGUUGCAUGGCUGUCGUCAGCUCGUAUCGUGAGACGUUGGGUUAAGUCCCGCAACGAGCGCAACCUUCAUCCUUAGUUGCUACUCUAUAUUCAGCAGUAAUGCUGGGUAUGGGGGCACUCUAAGGAAACCGCCCGCGAUAAGCGGGAGGAAGGUGGAGAUGACGUCAAGUCAGUACGGCCCUUAUGCCCUGGGCUACACACGUGUUACAAUGCUUGCUACAAAGCGUUGCUAAGUCGCGAGAUGGAGCUAAUCGCAGAAAAGUAGGCUCAGUUCAGAUUGGAGUCUGCAAUUCGACUCCAUGAAGCUGGAAUCGCUAGUAAUGGCAGAUCAGCUAUGCUGCCGUGAAUACGUUCCCGGGCCUUGUACACACCGCCCGUCAAGCGAUGGGAGCCAGGGGUACCUGAA
rnacentral:rRNA from 1 species